rnacentral:piRNA from 1 species
UAGUUAUGACUGUGGCUGCCUU